rfam:Schistosoma margrebowiei strain Zambia genome assembly, scaffold: SMRZ_contig0004035
AGAUUUUUGAAUCCGUGCAGAGAUUUUGUCAGACACCAACUCAUUAGGGCUGAUCAGACUUUUAAGAUAAGUGAAGUCA